rnacentral:rRNA from 1 species
AGAUUGAACGCUGGCGGAAUGCUUUACACAUGCAAGUCGAACGGCAGCACGGGGGCAACCCUGGUGGCGAGUGGCGAACGGGUGAGUAAUACAUCGGAACGUGCCCAGUCGUGGGGGAUAACUACGCGAAAGCGUAGCUAAUACCGCAUACGAACUCUGGUUGAAAGCGGGGGAUCGCAAGACCUCGCGCGAUUGGAGCGGCCGAUGGCAGAUUAGGUAGUUGGUGGGGUAAAGGCUCACCAAGCCGACGAUCUGUAGCUGGUCUGAGAGGACGACCAGCCACACUGGGACUGAGACACGGCCCAGACUCCUACGGGAGGCAGCAGUGGGGAAUUUUGGACAAUGGGCGCAAGCCUGAUCCAGCCAUUCCGCGUGCAGGAUGGAAGGCCCUCGGUUGUAAACUGCUUUUGACGAACGAAACGCGCUGAGUUAAUACCUCGGCGUAAUGACGGUACCGUAAGAAUAAGCACCGGCUAACUACGUGCCAGCAGCCGCGUAAC